rnacentral:pre_miRNA from 1 species
AAUACAAAAGAGACGAGUUGUUCCUUUUAAUUCCGCUAUAUAUAUAGCGGAAUUAAAAGGAACAACUCGUCUCUUUGUAUC